rnacentral:rRNA from 1 species
GCUGAAGCCUGGUGCUUGCACCGGGUGGAUGAGUGGCGAACGGGUGAGUAACACGUGAGUAACCUGCCCCUGACUUCGGGAUAAGCCCGGGAAACUGGGUCUAAUACCGGAUACGACUGCCGGACGCAUGUCUGGUGGUGGAAAGUUUUUUCGGUUGGGGAUGGGCUCGCGGCCUAUCAGUUUGUUGGUGAGGUAAUGGCUCACCAAGACGACGACGGGUAGCCGGCCUGAGAGGGCGACCGGCCACACUGGGACUGAGACACGGCCCAGACUCCUACGGGAGGCAGCAGUGGGGAAUAUUGCACAAUGGGGGAAACCCUGAUGCAGCGACGCAGCGUGCGGGAUGACGGCCUUCGGGUUGUAAACCGCUUUCAGCAGGGAAGAAGCGCAAGUGACGGUACCUGCAGAAGAAGUACCGGCUAACUACGUGCCAGCAGCCGCGGUAAUACGUAGGGUACGAGCGUUGUCCGGAAUUAUUGGGCGUAAAGAGCUCGUAGGUGGUUGGUCACGUCUGCUGUGGAAACGCAACGCUUAACGUUGCGCGUGCAGUGGGUACGGGCUGACUAGAGUGCAGUAGGGGAGUCUGGAAUUCCUGGUGUAGCGGUGAAAUGCGCAGAUAUCAGGAGGAACACCGGUGGCGAAGGCGGGACUCUGGGCUGUAACUGACACUGAGGAGCGAAAGCAUGGGGAGCGAACAGGAUUAGAUACCCUGGUAGUCCAUGCCGUAAACGUUGGGCACUAGGUGUGGGGGGGCAUUCCACGUUCUCCGCGCCGUAGCUAACGCAUUAAGUGCCCCGCCUGGGGGAGUACGGUCGCAAGGCUAAACUCAAAGGAAUUGACGGGGGCCCGCACAAGCGGCGGAGCAUGCGGAUUAAUUCGAUGCAACGCGAAGAACCUUACCAAGGCUUGACAUACACCGGACCGUCCUGGAAACAGGUCCUCUU